CACCGAUUCACGGGAGAGACCGGACAAUUUUUCCGGCGCCGAAGGAGCAACCGCCCCGGAAACUCUCAGGCAAAAGGACCGCGAUCGGCUG
rnacentral:ncRNA from 3 species